CCUGGCAGUGAGGCUCAGAACGUGGCAGCUCCUCACACCCCAAGCAGGAGGGCAAUGAACACCAAAAGCAGUCCCUACCACCAACAUUGGUAGAGUUGGUAAGACUGAGCUGGAACUAUAGCUCAAAUAGUGGCUCUUCAGUCUUUUAAUGGCAAGAAUGUAGAACUGACUGUGCGACUCAUCCAAGAGCUUUGACCAUCUACUGUGACUCAGCCAAUGGAAACACUCGUGCUGUCUGUUGCUUGGUAUUGCCAUGUGCAUAAUUGUAAGACGUUCACGUCCCGUGUCCUCACCCAGGAAGGACACUGGGUUGGCAGUGGGUCUUCUGCAGUGAGCUGCCUGCACUCUCCUUGCUUUGGCCAUGGGUGUAGCACACGUGGUGGGAAGAAGCAUUUUGGCUGAAGUUGCAUUGGAAAGGAUGGACAAUUUCAGGCAAGAUAGUAG
rnacentral:lncRNA from 1 species